GAUCCGCUAGCUCAGUUGGUUGCGAGAGAAAUCCGAGCCGAAGGCGAAGGCUUUGUCUCGUGAAAAGCACAACACUUUUAAUGUUGGGGUCAUGGGUUCGAGCCCCAUGCGGGUCA
rnacentral:tRNA from 1 species